UUUAUGGAGAGUUUGAUCCUGGCUCAGGACGAACGCUGGCGGCGUGCCUAACACAUGCAAGUCGAACGGUCUGGUAUUCAACACUGAAUAUUUAGCAGUGUAGCCAAGCGUCAAGCGCGAAAGAAGAGAGCGCUUCACGCAUUUAAUAAGUGCCAACACAAAAGCUGAGGAUUGAGUGUUGAAUAUCAGAUAGUGGCGAACGGGUGAGUAACGCGUAGACAACCUACCUUCUAGCUGGGGACAACACUGCGAAAGUGGUGCUAAUACCGAAUGUUGUAUAUUGAGUGCAUACUCGAUGUACUAAAGGUGGCCUCUAUUUAUAAGCUAUCACUAGAAGAC
rnacentral:ncRNA from 1 species